rnacentral:lncRNA from 1 species
CCGAACAUCCCUUUCCCUUUUCCUUUACCUGUUCACUGGCAAAGUUUUAUCAGCUAUUUCCAUCAGCUUCCCGUUUCCAUUGCUAAUCCUACGCCACUAGAUCCACCAUCUCUUCUGUCGUGGUAAUCAUCCUCCUCCAUCGGGAACAUUGGUACUCAUGGCCCAGUUUGUCUUCUGUCUCUCUCCACCUCCCUCAUAACAAAUCCCGGCACCUCAUCCAUAAGGUAAAUCAUUUCCCCGCUUUUUAGUCCCUCUGUAGCUAUAAUGUGUGACGAUUAAUUUCCCCCUUUAGCAGUGUAUAGAAACUUGCAGCUAUGGAAACCCUCCCUUAACUUCUGUAUAUCCUUGAUAAUAGCCCCAAUAACCGAAUCAUCUUCCCGAUUGCUGCACAACUUUUUCACUACUUUUUCACAGCUUUUUAAAACAUCGUGUUUAAGUUAUUAAUACGAUUUGUACAAACAUGUUUACAAAUUGAUAUAUAUAUGUUUUUAAAUAUUUUCACGAUAAAUCCAAGUUAUACUUAAACUAACAAGGUUAAAAAAAUAUGAUUAAUUCACGCGUAGAUCUCGAAAAGUUAAUCGAAAUAAAAAAAAUCGCCUCAAUCGGACAACCGAGCGAAAAGUUAUGGUCUUUCAAGGUUUUCCAAGCUAAAAAACAUAAACUGUUCAUGAAUUAUUACUUCAAAAUGCUUUUUUUGGAGGGAAAAUACCAAAAAGCCCUAUAUUUUUAAAAUUUAUCGAAAUGGGCCCGGUAUUUUAUUUUUUUGACCGUUUGGUAGUGUUCACGCGCGGGCCGAAAUCGCGGCCACGUCAGCGCGCUUUGCUGACGUGGCCGCGAUUUCCUAGCGCGUACCUUGAUAUUACGCUGACGUGGACGCGAUUUCGCAAAAAAUGGACCAUUCCAGUAAAUAAUUAAAUAAUGGGCCCAUUUCGAUAAUUUUUGAAAAAAAGGGCUUUUAUUGGUAAAUUGCCCAUUUUUUUGCUAUAUUAACCCCUGAAAGCCGAACAUCCCUUUCCCUUUUCCUUUACCUGUUCGCCGGUAAAGUUUUAUCAGCUAUUUCCACCAACUUUUCGUUUCCACUGCUAAUCCUACGGCACUAGAUCCACCAUCUCUUCCGUCGUGGUAAUCAUCCUCCUCCAUCGCGAACAUUGGUACUCAUGGCCCAGUUUGUCUUCUGUCUCUCUCCACCUCCCUCAUAACAAAUCCCGGCACCUCAUCCAUAAGGUAAAUCGUUUCCCCGCUUUUUAGUCCCUCUGUAGCUAUAAUGUGUGACGAUUAAUUUCCCCC